GUCUACGGCCAUGCCACCCUGAAUGUGCUGGAUCUCGUCUGAUCUCGGAAGCUAAGCAAUGUCGGGUCUGGUUAGCACUUGGAUGGAAAACCACCUUGGAAUACCAGGUGCUAUAGGCG
rnacentral:rRNA from 1 species